rnacentral:lncRNA from 1 species
AAGAGAGAAGUAUUAGAGUUGUGAGAGUAAUCCACAAACUGUUUUAUAGUCUGUGAGAAAAUAGAGUGGGAGUAAUAUUGUGGUGAGAUAUUUAAGACAAAGAGUGUUAUUUCUUUUGAGUCAUAAUAGUCUUUUGACACUACAAAGUUAUAAUAUUAUAGUGAUAUUAUAUUGCUCCUCUCAGGUAUUGUAUUUUACCCCGUUAAAAGAUUUGGUAUCAUUGUUACUCUCUUGUUUCAUUAUUAUUUAUCGUGGAUAUUAUUUCUAGGCGGGAUAUUAUUUUUCCCCAACAAAGGAUUGUUCAUUUGGCAGAGGGAUUGCCCGGGUGCUGUCAUAGACUUUAGGAAUAUUUUAGAUAGUGACACACUUGGUAUCGAAGCCUAGGUAUAAAUUCCUAUGAGUAUCAAUACAGACUUGUUUAUGAGAAUGUACAUGUCCUCACUUCUAAGCGAUAGGCUAUUGAGGCUUUUAGAAAAAUUUCCAUUGUUUCAUUCUUUUAUAGUAUGAUAGGCUCAAGCAAGUAAUUUAACUCGUCCUGUAUUAUAUCCCACAUUUGGUGAGAAAUCGAUCCGCUACUCAAAUUGAACUAAACAUUUCACCUGAGAUGCAGGAAGCACCGAGUAGGAAGGGCAAGCGCAGGAGAUAGACCAUGACAUAGAUAGCUGCACAACGUAGGGCUAGAGCCACCACUGCUACCAGGUUCAUAGUCAAGCUACUAGACCUGCUUCAGUUUCUCAACAUGAAAUUAUAUAGAUUUAUCAAGUCCCACAAUACGUUCGAGACGAUUUCAUAGCUUCCAGUAAUAUAGGACACUCUAGUUCAUUAUUUGAGUGUCCUGGAGACCCUUACUCCUCGACCAGAUGGUGUGUUGUUACUCCAAAAGCUUCUCAUACCCUAGUUGGGCAAGUGGAAAGUUUUGGACCAUGCAUACCCUGGUGCAGUAAGAUUCACACAUUUAUCAGACUCUCGUUCUAUAAGCAGUAGUGGGUACACUAUGAGGUUUUCAACUUGUUUCCCCGAAUGCAAAGAAUACUUCUAGGCUAUAAGCUUUCCUGAAGCUGAAGCCCCCAAAUGUUGUGAGCUUUGAUACAUCUUAUAACGACCCGAUCGGUCAUUUUAUGUAAUUGCACCGCAUUACCCCUUUUAUUGCUUCACCCUUGUGUGUUAAUGUCUUUAUGACUUGCGGGGUUGAUUAGUUUUAUUCCGGAAAGCUUUCGGGUUGAUUUGGACCCUUGAUUCUAGACUUAGAAGCUUUAAUAUAAAAAUGUUGACCAAACUUUGACUUUUGUGCAAACGAUCAUGGAACUGUAUUUUUAUGACUCUGAUAGCUAUGUAUCGUGAUUUCAAACUUGCACGUAUGCCCGAAACUGAUUUUGGAAGUCCAUAGGUUGAUUUGUGUUGAUUUACCGAAAUUUGGCAAUUUUUAAGUUGAAAAGUUUGACCGUAGGUUGAAUUUUAGCUAUUGAGCUCGGAAUUUAAUUUUAGGACUUGGAAUAGGUCCGUUAUGACAUUUAAAACUUGUCUGCAAAAUUUGGCGUCGUUCGGAGUUGAUUUGAUAGAAUUCGGAUGCUUAGUUGAAAUUUAGAAGUUCUUGAAUAUCUCUUUGAAAAUCAUGCAUUUUUGAGUUCAAUUCGUAGUUUUAGAUGUUAUUUUGGUGUUUUGAUUGCGCGAUUGAGUUUGUAUGAUAUUUUUAUACUUGUGUGAAUAUUUGGUUUGGAGCCUCGCGGGCUCGGGUGAGUUUCGGACGCUUAGCAGAGUGUUGUUGGAAUUUAAAGUUGCUGGUUUUCUGCACAGGCUACAGAUCUCGCAUUUGCAAGGUGUGAGUUUGCAUUUGCAAAGGUAGGCCAAGUCUCCUGGGUUCGCAUUUGCGAAAGUUUCUGGGAUGGGCUAGGUUCGCAAUUGCGAUGAUUUUGUCGCAAUUACGAGGGCAAUAGUGGUCACAAAUGUGAUCUAAUAUUCACAUUUGCGAAGAGUUUCCCUAAGCUUCAGUUCCGCAAUUGCGAGGCUUUAUUCGCAAUUGCGAACCCAUGUCGCAAUUGAGACAUCUGCAACUGAUCAAAUAGGUGAGGGACGGGAUUUUUGAGUUCAUUCUCUCAUUUUUAAACGCUAGACUCGGUAGGAGGCGAUUUGGAGAGGGGAUUUUCAUCAACAAACCUUGAGUAGGUGAUUCUAAUCUACUUCUAUUCAUAUUUCAUCAACAUAUAUUAGAUUUUAACAUUAAAGUCAUGUGAAUCAAAGUAGAAAUUUAUGAAACUUUGUUAUUUUGAAAAAAAUAAGAAAUUGAGUUUGUGAGUCGAUUUAGACGAGGAUUUUGAAACUAAUCACAUAUAUGAACUCGUGGGGUCAUGGGUAGAUGGAAUCUACCAUUGGACCCAGGUUUUUACCGGGUGAGCCCCGUUUUGACUUUUGUUGGCCUUUUGAAAAAAGUGUAAAAAUCUUAACUUUAUCUAAUUCAAUUGAAUUCCUUAGCAUUGUUUGAUGAUAUUGAGUCGAUUUUGGUUAGAUUUGAGCCGCAUGGAGGCGGAUUCUAACGGAAAAGCUAUUUUCGAGUGUUGAAUUGGCCUAGUUGAGGUAAGUGUCUUGCCUAACUUCGUGUGGGGGAACCACCCCUUAGGAUUAGUAUUGUUUGAUUCAAUUGUGCUAAGUAAAAUCCGUGCACGCAGGGUGACUAGUGCAUACAUGGGUUAUAUGUACUAUUUGACCAGUUUAGGCUACUUAGACUAUUUCCAUACUCUAAUUGAAAUGCCAUAUUAUGUUCUAUAUUCUCAUAGUCAAAUCAUCCUUAAUUGUGUUAGAUAAUCCUUAAAUGUCUUAGUUAACUUGUUUAGUAUUUGUUCUACAUCCUACUAGCUAAAUUGCUCCUAUGCUUUAAUUGAACUUGUUGCCCCUUUAUUGUCACAUGUUAUCUCUUCAUUGUUAAUUAUCAUUGUUUGAAUUAAUUGUUCAUGUUGCCCCCUUUACUUGUUGACUCCCGUUAUUUGAGAUUCAUUGUUGAAGAUUAUUUCCUCUAUUGUGAGCUAGUCUUAUCUAAUAUCGUGGUUAUACAUUAUUUACUCAUUGUUGAGUUAUUUGGUGUUGAAUUUGUGAAAGUCGUUAAUACGUUGAGGCGAUGUUGGUUAUUGUUGAAACAUCUAUCUUAUUGAGCAUUUUCCAUCCAUUAUUUUUGUUGGUAUUCUUUUAUACAUUAUGGUGGAGCCAUGGGCUAUUGUUGUGGAAAUAUUGAUAUUGUUGUUGUUGGCAAGAUGUGAUAUGUGGGCACUUGUGUGCGAGUUGUUAUUGUAAUAUAAUGUUGAUGCACAUGCGGCAAUAUAAGGCUUAGGUUGAUGUGCAUGCGGGGCUAUAAGGUGGGACUUAUGUGCAUGUUGCUUUUAGGGGAACUAUGUGAAGCCACACGACGUCAUAAGAUGGGCUAAAGUGCGUGUAGCUAUUUUGGAAAAACUAUUUUCAAAACCUAUUUUCAAAGGUAAGGCUCACGCGGCGGUAUAUGGAAAGAUCGUGAUUGAAAUGUGAGGAAAGCGAAUACGAGGCAGUAUCUCGGUUGUGAUUCUUGAUUAUAUGAGGCGGUACCUUGGUUUUGAUUUCAUUGUACACGAGGCGGUACCUCGAUGUGAUUCUUGCUGUUAUUUUACGUUGCAAAGUGUUUUGGUGGGAAAUAUAUAUGUUGUUUCAUUCCUUAGUGUUCUAUCAGUUGUUGUCCAUACAUGAUCAUUAUAGUCCUUUAGUUGCUUCUUUUAUGCUAUUUCUACUCUUGAUUUUCCAGUAUUAGAUCAUGCUAUAAUCUUGUUCCGUAUUAGUUGCUUUCUUACUUUUAAUUUUGUAUCCCUAUUUCAUUUUAUAUUGUCUAUCUCAUAUCCUAGUAGGUGUCUUGACCUGGCCUCGUCACUACUCUAUUGAGGUUAGGCUUGAUGCUUACUGGGUACCAUUGUGGUGUACUCAUACUAUGCAUCUGUAUAUCGUUUUGUGCAGAUCCAGGUAUGUCCGCUCGUGCCGGUAGAUAGAGAUUUUCCUACUAGCUGCAUUGACCGGAGACUUCAAGCUAUGCCUGCUCGGCAUCCGAAGGCCUCAGAGUCCCUUUCCCUUAUUCUUAGUUACUGUUGUAUUUUCUCGCAAAUAGUGAUGUAUCAGAUGUAUUAGUUAUUCCAUAGUGCGUAUGACUCUAUUCCAUAAUUCUUGGGAAUUGUAUGGUUGAGAUUUUGCUUUUUAGUAUUUAAAUGAGUUUAUCAAAUUG